rnacentral:rRNA from 1 species
GAGUMYMGAYCCMGGCUMAGARUCAACGCUGGCGGCGUGCCUAACACAUGCAAGUCGAACGAGAAAGUGGAGCAAUCCAUGAGUAAAGUGGCGCACGGGUGAGUAACACGUGACUAACCUACCCUUGARUKGGGGRWWAMCYWAGGGAAACCUGGGCUAAUACCGCAUAAUACCUACGGGUCAAAGGAGCAAUYCGCUUUAGGAGGGGGUCGCGGCAGAUUAGUUAGUUGGCAGGGUAAUGGCCUACCAAGACGAUGAUCUGUAUCCGGCCUGAGAGGGCGCACGGACACACUGGAACUGAAACACGGUCCAGACUCCUACGGGAGGCAGCAGUGGGGAAUUUUUGCGCAAUGGGGGAAACCCUGACGCAGCAACGCCGCGUGGAGGAUGAAGACCCUUUGGGUCGUAAACUCCUUUCGAUCGGGACGAUAAUGACGGUACCGGAAGAAGAAGCCCCGGCUAACUUCGUGCCAGCCGCCGCGGUAAUACA